CCCAAGAGAUCGGGAUAACACCUGGAAACAGAUGCUAAUACCGGAUAACAACAGAUGAUGCCUAUCAACUGUUUAAAAGAUGGUUCUGCUAUCANCUCUUGGAUGGACCUGCGGUGCAUUAGCUAGUUGGUAGGGUAACGGCCUACCAAGGCGAUGAUGCAUAGCCGAGUUGAGAGACUGAUCGGCCACAUUUUGGGACUGAGACACGGCCCAAACUCCUACGGGAGGCAGCAGGC
rnacentral:rRNA from 1 species